rnacentral:lncRNA from 1 species
AAGGGAGUUCGCCUCCUUUACUCCCCUUUAGCGGUUCUGGCAGAUCCCCCUGGACAGGUCUCCAUUUCUCUCCCACAAAGGAACCAACCUGGGCACUGGCCCUGCUGGAAGGGAGAGCCUGAAUCUUGAGGAGGACGUGUGCCGAGCGUGCCUCUGGAUUGGCCUUCAGGGAAGACGGGAGAUCUGCUGGGGCUCAGGAGAUUCUCCCAGAGCAGCUGGACAUCAGCAGCUGCUGCGGACGGAGUUGGGAGAGAAAGGCCUUCUCAGCCAGGCCCAGCACAGACCAAGCCCCAGGUCUCAGCGCUCCUGGAUACCAGCCGGGGAGCCCUUCCAAGGCCAGGCAGGCAGCCGCUCUUGCACCAAGAGGCCUUUGGGGUCCCCACCAGCGAGCAGAGAGGCAACUUCUGAGCCAGCUGCAAAUUCAACCUUAACCUCUUGCGAUGCUUCAGGCUUGCUGGGAUUGAAGCCCCUCCCCGAGAGUGGCCACCAGGCAUGGAGGUUGACCCCAAGACCAAGAGAUCCCGAGCAGCUAUGAAGAAGGUCAACUUUUCCAUGGCUUCUCCUAUUUAGAGGGGUUCUUUACCGCCUCGGGCUCAUCGACACCCCCCUCUCUGCAUUUUCACUUCAGAGUCACACCUGCUUGUCUCAUGUUCUUCGGGGGUUUUCCAACAAGUUCUCUUACUGUCAUGUCUACUGUUUGUUUCCUAUGUGGAUGGAGUUCUAAAUCUGUCUUAAUUUGAAAAGCACUUCUGGAAUAGAAAAGUGCUAUAGCGGUAUUUUAAAUACUUUUUUUAUUAGAUCCUUUGACGGUGCACAACUUUCUCUUUCCAGAUGCCCAGAUUUGGUUUUCCUGCACAUGAAAACACAAAAACAUGAUCCCCUCCCUUCCCAGAUUCCUUUUUGGUGGAUCUGAUGUUUUGGAAUUUCUCUGAAAGGAAGCCGUGGAUACAGGAUUGUUGGGGUGAUGGGACUACAGGGCUUCCUCUCAUUGUUUCCUGCAGGGACCGGCCCCUUUCCUGCUGUAUUACGCUGCCCGCUUGGCUGGUUCCCCUGCAGUUUCUACACCACCUUCUGAAGCACAUCCGAAUGGUGCUGGGGUUGGGGCGGAUUGUGGCUCUCUCCUCCUCCUCCUGCUGCUGUUAAAAUGCAGCUCCUUGCUCUCUAUUUCAGAAGAGCAGCCCUUGAAGAGCAUUUGAGUCGCACCUCCGCACAAACUCUGGCGGUGGACGUGCUUUGGGACAGAGUCCAUUAGAGCUCUCCUUCCCCAUUCAGACAUGGAGAUUGUAAAUUAUUCUGCAGAAGAAAGGAGUCGCUCGACUCUCACUCACACGCCAGUGAGAGAUACAGGCCAGAAAGCAGGUCUGUGAGGUGGAUCCUGGCCUCCUCUGAGACCCCCAGCAAGCGGAAGAAGAGGUGGGUCAGUUGGACCACAAGGGAGGCCACUGCUCCUCCCUCAGUAGCUAAGACGAUGGAGAGUUUAGCUCACCCCCCAGAUGGAGGACAGAGGCAAAAGUGGACAUUGCUGGGAGUGGGUUAGAGAAGCAAGCCCAGGAGCACAGACUGAAGUUUACCAGAGGUGAAUGCAAAGUCCUUUACUUGGGAGGCAGAGUUGCAACCCACCAACUUGAUCCUAGCACCCACAGCUGCCUUUGCAGUGUUGGGAGGGCCUGGCUGGGAACAAUCUGUCUAUGUGGUGGCGGCUAAGAGCCAAUGUCAGUUGGGUAGCAUGGAGCCAAAUCAAUGUGGUUGACGGGGGUUUAUGGGCCCAGCAGGCCAAUUUAAUUAGCAAACCCAGUUCUGCUUUGGGUACAGGGGCUACAAGCACAAGGAGUCAUCAGUAUUAGCUCACGUUUAACUGUAUGUCCUUGCAUUGGCAUUCAAAGCAGUGUUUUUAAUCUCUCUCGUCCGGUAGAAAGAAGCUCCCUGUGUCAUUUUAAAAACUGUCUUUCUGAUAGUUCACAAAUCUUUCCAGCCUAACAGAAGGUAGCAAGAAAAUGCACUUUUUUUGGCCUAGUAAGUUUGGGGACUCUCUGCCGUCCACAAACAAAUGAACAACACCCAAGGAUCAGAAACUCACAAUAGCCACACCUGAAGGGGCUGGCAUUGCUACAAAUAACCCAGAAUUAGAAUGCAGGUCCACCAGAACUAUGAUGGUUUACGGGUUGGAUGGCCGCAUUUCUGUCCCUGUUCUUCAUCAAUACACAACUGUUUGAAUUAGAAAAGCAGGUGAAACAUAAUUUAAUCACCAAGUUUAAGGCUUUUGGCUCCAAAAUGAUAAAAAGUGUAACGGAAAUAUUUCUUCAAUUUGUCCACCAAUGUUAGCUUGUUUUAAUUCCUCUGUAUUUUUUUUCCUAGCAGAAAGAUGCUACCAAGUAAAAAUAAUUUCAAAACAGGGGAGAACCCCGCCCCUCAACUUCUAGGUCAUAAUAGCUACAGUUUGAAAAACAAGUCCGCGGUCAGGAAAAGCUUGAACUCAACCACACCUAAGAGAGAGUCGCUGAGAAGCGCCAGAGCACCUUACCUUGAAAGAGUUUUAAUGUCUCUUUUGUGGGCGUUUUGCAGUUCUACCACUUGACACCCCCUCCCCCCCAGAAGCAAAGCAGGAACCUUCCAGGAGGAGGGAUAAUGAGAUUCAGAGCUGGGGGAGGUGGAGAAGCAGAGCAAUUUAAAGGGGUUAUGGGUGAUUUCAGCCAAUAAAGAGGGCAGGAAGUCUUGAUUUAAAGGGCCAGGUGGGGACCUCUGAAAGGCCAGUCCUGGCACCCCCUGCAUUUUCUUCCUUGACCGAGCUCAGCAUUUCCCUGGAUUCAGCCCCUGCGCAGCUUCCCACAGCUCUUUUCCUCUGACCCACCCAUUCUGAUGGCUCCUCUUUGAGGAGCAGAAGUGGCCAAGGAAGCUGACUGUAUCUCCUCCCCUGUCCAAGCAGGGAUCCCACCUGCUAAUCAGGCCCUGGGCUCCUUCAGGCUCCUGUGGCCACCUCAACCAGGGAACCUCACCAGAGCUUCAGCUGCUAGGUACCUGAAGGAAGUCGGUCAUUUGCUUAAGGCAGCUGGGUCAUUUCUGAGACCAGCAGUUGGGAUCAUGGGAGGCAUCUCUGGGUGUGAAUCCUCCUCCUGUAAGGAGGAUAGAAGAGGGAGACAUGUUCCACCUGCUCCUCCUCCCUUAUAGCCGUGAGGACGGGGCAGAUUUGGCAAUUUAACUGUGGCUUCCCUUUAUGGUCCUGGCCCUGACCCAAGAUGGGAAACCGCCACCAAAGGAUUCCUUCCGGGGAGCGAGUGAAAGCCCAGCUCGGUUGGCACAAAAGGGAUUUGCAAGGAAAGGUGAGUAGACAAAUAAUUUGGUGUUUCUUGUUCCCUUUUCUUGCCUGUUUAGCUUUCUCUUUGGUUUCUUCUGCCUUUUUGCUCACUUUUUAUAUUAAUUUGAAUUGGUUUCUUUCAUAAAGGGUUUAAUAAAAUUAUACCACUCCCCGAAAACAGAGACCAGGUUUCAAUUCUGUGGUUUUGGCUCUGCCAUUCUGACAUUUUUUACUUCAAUCUGGAACUCA